rnacentral:sRNA from 1 species
UCACCCGUGGCUUGGAUCACAUCAACCACCUACCUUGCCUUCCCAGGCUCUCCUUCCCAGUGUAGGUUUUUUCCACUGGGCUUUGUGCCAGGCAUGGUGACUCACUGAGCAGGACAAAGCACUUACUUUCAACUUUCCUUGGCAGUUUAUUUCCUUAUACCAAUCUCUUUUGAGAAAAAGUAGGCCAAGCAGUAAAGCAAUAGGGACAAAGAUCAACUCUUACCUUGUAAGCAUGCUGUAAAUGGGUGCUCCUUGCCCUCGUGUGUGAAAACUGUGCAUCGGAGGAGGGUCGAGGACUAUAUUCAGUCUCUGUUUUUGUCAACGGCUAACCAUGGCUGUAUUAGAAUGUGGGUAUGGAUGUUAUUGGCUCUAUGCAGAAUACAUGAAGCUUAAAUGUGCAGUCUUGUCCAGUUUUACCUGGUUAAACCCCAGCAGGUGUACUGAGGCUCUGCUUAGCUUGUGCUGAUAGUUUAGGAGUGAUAUCUACUCUUGUCUACUUUCUAUCUCCUUGGUUUUGGACCAAAUCCUCCCUCUGGUCAUUUCCCUAGAUCCCACCCUCGUCAUCUGUUCCACACAAGAUACUUGGUCGCUCACCAUUUUCUGAAGAUGCCUUGGAAACCUGUCCACUUCUGAGACCAAGGAGACACAACAAAAGCUGGGGAUGGUGACUUGGCCAAAUGAGGAAAGGUCACUCCUGAGCCCAGAACUCUGCUACGAUGAAGACCGACGCCUAACAAUCGACCCUUUGUGUCCAUAAACCUGACGGUAUCAGAAGGAGUGAAGAAAACUGGGAAUACAAUUUCCUCGGGGUCAUUUCAAUGUUCUGUAAACUCUAGGAAUGUGCUUUGCUUUUAUCGUUUUGCUUUCAAGAAAACGAGUUAUACGAUUUCAGUAACUAAAGAUCCAAGACCCAUCUUUGUUCACUGUCUGAUCUGAUGGCCAGCUUGGCCUUCGAUGAACCUGUG